GUGAAACAAAAUGUUGUAGAUAAUGGAAACUUGUCUAACGGGCAUUAACAGUAACCUUGGCAUGUUAUGUAUAUGCUUGAGGCCAAAAGAGGCGUAAAACCAGAUAGAAAACUUUGAAGUGUGCUUUUUAGCGGAGAGUCAGGCUGACAUGGGGAUGGUGUGUAUUUUACUGGGGUGGUGUUUAAUAAAACUAAAAGCGUUGCUCACACACAUAAAGAGUAUUGAGAUUGAAUAAAGUUAAUAUAAUGGAUAGAGCCCAGAACAGGAUAAUAUAUAAGUGAAAUCAAAUGCAAUGUAUGAUUUCACUUUUAUUGGGAAAAUAAUUAGCCAAGAAAUGUGUAUUGAACUUUCCAAAUACAUUUAAAACUGUGCAACUCUCCGUGGUCCAUGCAAUCAAGCAACUGUUAUAUAUCUGCAUUAAACUAGCUAACAUAGACUCACCACCACAUGAUGUUGCCCUGCAGCGGGGGCAGAAAAUCAUUUGCAAACCAGGGAUCUUAGGUUGAUUAUUAUAUUCUUACUUAUGUACACACACACACACAGAAGGGAAAAUUUCAAAACAAAACAAAAAAUAACUUCGCUUAACCUGUCAAGCGCAGGAGCAAAAUAAAAAUGUCUUUGGGCUCUGUUAAAAUUUCUUUAGUAAAAAGCGAAGGUAGUGGACCUGGGAAUGGUGUAGUGACGUCUUUGGAAGACGUCAAGAGAGGGAAUUGUAGAAUUAUAGGAAUUAUUUUAUGGUUACUGUUCAUAACCAUCAUCUUUAUCAUUGCAUUAAUUAUCAUUUCAUCGAAGUGUUUAUUGAAGCUGCUGGCAUUAUGUUAUAAUUUACAUUAUAGGGGUUAUCAUAAUCAAAUAUUAACAUGUUUAUUACAGGUGCAGUUAUAACUACUUUAAAAUGAUUGAGUUAAAUAUAUGUAUCAUAACUCAUAGGCUGAGUACAUGGUUACAGUAAAAUAGUAGCUGAGCAAAGGCCUGAAUGUAUUCAGCUUCUUGUGGUAUUUGAGUUUGCUUAGUUACAGGUGACGGAAGGAUGUCCAGUCCAUGGUGACCUCAAAGGCCUUAGGUCAUCACCAUAUUCGGAAGAGUAUGCCACAAGGAGGAACCUCUGUGUUUGCAUUUAAUUCUUAAAAUACAUGAAUGUUCUGUACAUGCAAAUUAUGUGCUUGUAAACGCAAGAAGGGGCGUUACAAUACCCUGAUGUUAUAAAAGCAAUCUAGAGUGUAUUUUGGGUAGAGAUGUACAACUGUUUUGCAGUUUGCACCUCUCCACGCUGCGUGCAUUCAUUAAAAAUCAAUUGUUUGAUUGACCUCUUCUGGACCAUCAUUGUUUUACUCUCGUCCUCAAUUUCGAACCCGUAACACAAGUCAACAACGGUUCAGUGUUGUGCAGCGCUUCACUGUAAUGUUGGGCAAAUCAAGCAACACAGAAGAAUACCUGAGCCAGCGAGCUGCAGACAGGUGUGAGGUGGGGUACCUGCACCGUCAGAGGGGUGUUACGACCCGUCUAGGGCCAGGCAAUAACAUGAGUGAGGCACUCGCUUCCCCCCCAAGACCCAAGCAGCCACAGGAAACAAAUCCGUUCGUUAAUGUGAUUUAUUUACAAAGUGAGAAAAAAAAAGAGGAACAACAAAACGGGAGUGUCAACACUUCAGGGUGAGCCAAGGCCAAAAUAAUAAACAAAACAAAUCUACACAAAUCCUGCACCCCUGACCUUACCAAAACAAAGUCCAAAAAUAAAGACAUAGUCUGACCUCCUUAACUAAUUCAAAACAGGAGAAAACUGGUGAUCAAAGAAACGGCAGCUCACCCCUACCCACUCCACUUACACAACUUUCAAGCCGCACUGCAGCCAGCGGCUGCCACGGUAACACUGCUGGGUCAUGAGGAGAAAUACGAGGACCUCUCCCGCUGUAGCACUCCAGCCUCCUUUUAAUGGGCGGGUCCUCCAGCUGGAACCAGUCACGUCGGGGCGGUGUAUCCAUGCACCAAUCGGAGCAGGGCCCUGGCACAGCUGAAUUAACAUAAAAAGAUACAUCACCUGCACAAAACAAACACAUGAACAUGCAAGUUUGUAACAGGGGAGUACCCAACAAUGUCGCGGGAGGCAAGCACAGCCUUUUCACACGCGGCGACUGCACGCAGACAUCCAGGAAGGCCUGGCUCAGGUCAAACUUAGAAGAAUAGUAGGCAACAGGAUGAAGCAAA
ensembl:lncRNA